rnacentral:rRNA from 1 species
UACGUAGGCAGCGAGCGUUGUUCGGAGUUACUGGGCGUAAAGAGUGCGUAGGCGGUUUUCUAAGUUUGGUGUGAAAUCUCCCGGCUCAACUGGGAGGGUGCGCCGAAGACUGGAAGGCUUGAGUAUGGGAGAGGUAAGCGGAAUUCCUGGUGUAGCGGUGAAAUGCGUAGAUAUCAGGAGGAACACCUGCGGUGUAGACGGCUUACUGGACCAUAACUGACGCUGAGGACGAAAGCGUGGGUAGCAAACAGG